UUCCCCAGUCAACUGCUCCUCCACUUGGCUUCAGGCAUCUCUAGGAAUCCCACCAAUUUCCAGCCAUGAAGAUCUUCUGCAUCCUCUCUCUCGCCUUCCUCCUCCUCCUGCUGGCUCCAGAUUUCACCAGAGCCCAAUAUCAUUGGUGCCGAGACGAAUGUAGAAAGAGAGGGGGGGUAUUGGAACAAUGUGGGGGCCGAAAGGUCCUUUAUAUGUGUGGUCGAUAUCCAUGUUGCCGUUAAGGCGUGUUUCUCUACAGAUCUCCUGUGCAAGACCUCUGGUGAAAGGAAGACCUCCCUGCUCUCCUCUGAUGCACAGCUGCCUUGACUGCCCCCCCCCCCAUCUCUGCUGGGGAAGAAACCGCUUUGCUUGAUGCUGCUGAAGGCGAUUCUGGGAAGGAGUCAAGAGGGAGCCGUCCUGUCUGCCUGUCUACUCAUGACUCCUUAGAAAGUGGGCUCAGGAUUGGAGCUUGGAUUUGGUUUGUCUGCAAAAGCGCUUUAGCUUUUUCUUUUUAAUAAAGGCAAGCAUU